GGAUGUGAGGGUGAUCUGGCUGCGACAUCUGUCACCCCAUUGAUCUCCAGUGUUGAUUCAGCUGAUCUGGCUGGCUAGGCGGUUGCCCCUUCCUCCCUUACCGCUCCAUGUGCUUCCCUCUGGAAGCUGCACACUCAGUCAAAGAGGAUGGCCUUCCCUGAAUAGAGACGACUGGUCUUUGGUCGAGAAUAUAUGAGUAGCUGCGCUCCCCUGCUAGAACCUCCAAACAAGAAAGGAGUUGUGGGGGCAAAGCAUUGGUUUCCACAAGAAUGGGACAACGUUACAUUCCCAU
rnacentral:snRNA from 1 species